CAGGCUAGACUGACAUUAAAAUAACUAAAAUAUUAGAUGUGUGAGGUUAACAAGGCAUGGAGAAAAUAGGGACCAGUGUAUAGUACAGUCUUUUAUGAUAUUAGUGGAAAUGCCGCUGGGCAUCAAAUAUGAGUGAACAGUGUAAAUAACAGAGGAUACAGCAAUUAAACAUGAAUCACUGCUUUGGUGGCCAAGAUGGUGUUGUCACCAAAAAUAGAUAUCCCAGGCUGAGCCCCCGUAUGCCGCUGACAGGCCAUAAGCUAGAGUCAAGCACCACACCAAACUUGUCUGCCCCACUCAGUCUAGCAAUGUGGCAGGGUUCGCUGGAUUUCCCCAUGCUUGUCCGAGUUGAGGUUGCAUUGCCACAGAAGCCCAUACUUUUGGCCCCAGGUGUUAGAGAGGGCCAGUGCCCU